GCAGCUGAUCUAUGUUUCUCUCUCACAAUGUUUCUAACUCUCUCUCCCUCUCUUCCUCUCUGUAAAAAAUCAAUAAAAUAUAUUUAAAAAAUAGAUUUGUAGAAGACUGCACAAAGCUAACCCGUCCGAAAGGCAGCCCAUGAUGCACCCCUCCAAAACCGCAACUCCACCCAUCAGCUGCUCACGCAGACACGCAGGCGGCAUCUCUCAUUCUGUCUCCGCCCCAAAUCCAACCCGUCAGCUGAUCCUGGGGGGCUCUGCCUCCCAAUAUGGCCUCCUGCUCUGCCCUUGCCUGAGGCACCUGAUUAAACCUACUUUAGGUCCUGCCCCUCCCAUGCUCCAUCCCGCCAGUGACUCCCCUUCUCAGAGUAAAAGCCCAUGCCGAAACCGGUGUGGCUCAAUGGAUAGAGCACCCGCCUGUGGACU